rnacentral:rRNA from 1 species
UACGGAGGAUCCAAGCGUUGUCCGGAUUUAUUGGGUUUAAAGGGUGCGUAGGCGGCCUGCUGCGUCGGUGCUGAAAGCGCCCGGCUUAACCGGGCGAGGCGUGCCGAUACGAGCGGGCUGGAGCCUUGGCGAGGGUGGCGGAACUCCUGGUGUAGUGGUGAAAUGCGUAGAGAUCAGGAAGAACACCCGUGGCGCAAGCGGCCACCUGGCCAAGAGCUGACGCUGAGGCACGAGAGCGUGGGGAGCGAACCGG